rnacentral:misc_RNA from 1 species
UACGAAGGGUGCAAGCGUUACUCGGAAUUACUGGGCGUAAAGGGUGCGUAGGUGGUUUUUUAAGUCUGCUGUGAAAUCCCCGGGCUCAACCUGGGAAUGGCAGUGGAUACUGGAAAGCUAGAGUGCGGUAGAGGGUAGUGGAAUUCCCGGUGUAGCAGUGAAAUGCGUAGAGAUCGGGAGGAACACCAGUGGCGAAGGCGGCUACCUGGACCAGCACUGACACUGAGGCACGAAAGCGUGGGGAGCAAACAGG